UACGUAGGGGGCAAGCGUUGUCCGGAUUUAUUGGGCGUAAAGAGCGUGUAGGCGGCCAGGUAGGUCAGCUGUGAAAACUCGAGGCUCAACCUCGAGACGUCGGUUGAAACCACCUGGCUAGAGUCCGGAAGAGGAGAGUGGGAAUUCCCGGUGUAGCGGUGAAAUGCGCAGAUAUCGGGAAGAACACCCGUGGCGAAGGCGGUUCUCUGGGACGGGUACUGACGCUGAGACGCGAAAGCGUGGGGAGCGAACAGG
rnacentral:rRNA from 1 species